rnacentral:rRNA from 1 species
AUUGAACGCUGGCGGCAGGCCUAACACAUGCAAGUCGAACGGUAACAGGAAGAAGCUUGCUUCUUUGCUGACGAGUGGCGGACGGGUGAGUAAUGUCUGGGAAACUGCCUGAUGGAGGGGGAUAACUACUGGAAACGGUAGCUAAUACCGCAUAACGUCGCAAGACCAAAGAGGGGGACCUUCGGGCCUCUUGCCAUCGGAUGUGCCCAGAUGGGAUUAGCUAGUAGGUGGGGUAACGGCUCACCUAGGCGACGAUCCCUAGCUGGUCUGAGAGGAUGACCACCCCACCUGGAACUGAGACACGGUCCAGACCCCUACGGGGGGCAGCGUGGGGGAAUUUUGAAAAAUGGGGGAAAGCCUGAUGCAGCCAGGCCGGGUGUAUGAAGAAGGCCUUCGGGUUGUAAAGUCCUUUCAGGGGGGAGGAAGGGAGUAAAGUUAAUACCUUUGCCCCCGGACGUUCCCCGCAGAAGAAGCACCGGCUAACCCCGG